UUUUUUUUCAUCACUAGGCUGUCAUUUUGGGGGGGAUAGAGGAUCAAGAGAGAGGCACCAUUUUUUUUGGAAAAGGAAGGCCAAUAUAGGUUUAGAUUUUGGUGAGGCUUUCUCGGUAUUUUCAUAAGAAGAUUCAGCAGGUUUUUUUUUUUUUUUUUUUUUUUUUUGUGGGAGAUGAACGCCAUUUGGAAAAGGGACAUGCUGGUGAUUUUGAGGAGGCGUUCUUGAAGUUUUUGAAGAAAAAGAUUCAGAAUGUUUUGGGAUAUUGGUAAUGUGUUUCCAAAAGCUUUCGGACUACGGCACAACUUUGUGAGGAAU
rnacentral:lncRNA from 1 species